rnacentral:rRNA from 1 species
UACGUAGGGUGCAAGCGUUAUCCGGAAUUAUUGGGCGUAAAGAGCUCGUAGGCGGUUUUGUCGCGUCUGCUGUGAAAACUGGAGGCUCAACCUCCAGCCUGCAGUGGGGUACGGGCAGACUAGAGUGCGGUAGGGGGAGAUUGGAAUUCCUGGUGUAGCGGUGGAAUGCGCAGAUAUCAGGAGGAACACCGAUGGCGAAGGCAGGUCACUGGGCCGCAACUGACGCUGAGGAGCGAAAGCCAGGGGAGCAAACGGG